rnacentral:lncRNA from 1 species
CACGAGCAAGAUGGAGACGUGUUUUUAGCCUGCCUUUUAUCUGAGAAAAAAAAAAUUUUUUUUAGGGGCGCCUGGGUGACUCCGUCGGUUGAACAUCCGACUUCGGCUCAGGUCAUGAUCUCAUAGUAUGAGUUCGAGCCCCGCAUCGGGCUCUGUGCUGAUGGCUCAGAGCCUGGAGCCCUCUUCGGAUUCUGUGUCUCCCUCUCUCUCUGCCCCUCCCCCGCUCGCACUCUGUCUCUCUCUCUCUCUCUCUCAAAAAUAAAUAAACAUUAAAAAAAUUGAAAAAAAAAAAACCUUUUAAAAUGCUUAUUACACUUUUUACCUCCCAGUAAGAUGCCCCAGGUGCUUUGUAGGUAACUAGGAGACACUAGCAAAUUAAGUAAGCCUGGCUUGGGUCACCCACUCGAUUUUUCGACGGGCGGCCUUACAGGUGGUCCCACCUUCCUAAGUGUGCUUUGAGAGUGGUAAUGGAAACAAAUAUUCCCGCAAGACAAGAAGGACAAGAAGGCGAAGCUCACCGUGUGGAAGAAGUCAGCUGAGGUGACCCGGCUGGUGAGGGGACCGGAGCCAGGCUGUUUCGGAGGCCGCCCCGGAGGUCGCCAUCCCAGAGGUCACCUCCUCAGAGGCCAGCAUGACUUUCAGACUCCUGGCUUCGGCCACCACGCCUGCUUCCGUCCUCCCUGGGGGAGCCCUUCCCAAACGCGGGCUCCAGGCCUGCCCUGCCCACCCCUCCCGAGCACGUCCACAUCCCACCGGCUUUUACCCGUUUGUAUCGCUGUCAGCUAAUGAGUGGUGGGUCCGCAGGGAGGAUCCGAACUCUAGCUGGUGCCAGCCAGAGUGCAGUGGGCAUCCAGGGUGGAGGGGGGACCGUGUGGCAGGCAGUAGAAGGUGGCCAGAGCUGCUGGCGUCGGGGGUGGGGGUGGAGGAGCGAGUGGUGGGGGGCAGUGGGGGUUGUGCGUCCGGGCAGGCAGGAGCACGCUGGGGAGUUCGGGAUCAGGGGAGAGGACCUCCAAGAAAGGUCGAGUGA